GGCCUGGGAAUAAUAUCUGACACGUAAAAAGUGUUCGGCUAAUGGUAGUUAUCAUUAUUAUCGUUUAUUUUUCAGUGGGCUUAUAGCCUAGAUAGAAGACAAAGCCUCAUACUUUAAAACUUUUUAACAAUAAAAAUCCAUCACAGAAGUUCCCAUCCUGGCUUAACGGAAAUGAAUCUGACUAGUAUCCAUGAGGACUAAAGUUCCAUCCCUGGCAUUGCUUAGUGGGUUAAGGAUCCAGCAUUGCCGUGAGGUAUGGUGUAGGUUGCAGAUGCGGCCUAGAUCCAGCGUUGCUGUGGCUGUGGUGUAGGCUUGCAGCUAUAGCUCCCAUUUAACCCCUAGCCUGGGAACCUCAAUAUGCCAAGGAUUCGGCCCUAAAAAGACAAAACAAAACAAAACAAAACAAAACAAAAAAGCCAUCACAGUAUUUUGAGUGACUGGUAGGAUGAUGUAAACACUGUGGUUUCAGAUAGCAAAUUGCUGGGCUGUAUAUGGGAGGAGGAGGAGAAAAAGGAGGAGAGAUUUGGCCUAGGCUUUGGAAAAGUGUCUAAGAUGGAUGGAGAGAGGGAAGGAACUUUGGGGUGGGAAAGUGUAAAGCUGAGUGUUCAUGGGCAAGAAAGCUCAAGAUGUGAUUUGAAAGAAUGGUGAGGGGGUCACAGUUAAUAGGUAGGGAAGAAGGCAUGGACAUAAGUUGAGAGAAAUAUGUUGAGCCCAAAUGGUGAAGAAUAUUAAAUGUCAGGCACGGGAGUUCCAUCCUUGAAGCAACAAAAAGACAUAACCUUUUUAGAAUUACUCGCAAUAAUGUCAGGCUCUAUCAGAGGGGAUGAGACAAGGAAGAGAAGGAAACAUCAAUUUGAAUGCCUGCUAACUAGUGAGCAAGGUCUGCAGAUACCCUAUUUCACUUAAUCCAUACAGCAACCCUAAAAUGUAGGGGGUGGUAUUCCCAAGUUAUAGAUAAGGAAACUGAUCUUGGAGAGGUUAGGUGUCCCCAAAUGGUGGAGCUAAUCAUUGACCUGGGAGACAGGAGCUGUUUGUUCUACAGCAGUACUCUUUCUGCUGAACUUUAGGCAGGGACACCAAUUGUUAGCAAGCGCUUGCCACAGGUCAGGUGAGAUAUUGAGAGACUGAACCUCCUUCCAUAGGACUGGAUAGAAGGGUGUAGAGUUGAUGUGCUUCUAAUACCUCCUCCCAAGUCUGAACCUUGUAAAGACCCAACCAAGGAGAGUAAGGGAUUGCACAUCAGACAACGUAGGAUCCACAUCACAAUGCCAGGGAGUGAGUUGCAGAGAAAAACCUCAAAUGCAGCAUUUAGAUCAACCUCACUCAGUUGAGAUGCGCACCAAAGAAGUCAGACUGCCGCUGGCUGAAAGGAUAAAUAACAGAGCAUUGAGGAGAGAGGGAUGAGCAAGGGACGGGGAGAGAAGUCAGAAAUUGCUGAAGUGGGGCUCUCUUCAUGGAAACACUAGUGAGAAGGUGCUGAACCCCAGUAAUGGCAGUGGCCAUAUCGAAGGAGAAGAUUGUAAAGGAAAGUAAGACGUGUCCAUGAGCAGUCACACCCUGCUGGUGGGAAUGUAAAAUGUGCAGCCACCUUGGAAAACAGCCUGGCAACUCCUCAAAGAGUUAAACAUCAAGUUAUCAUAUAGCCGGCAAUUUCACUCUUGUAUAUACUCUUGAGAAGUAAUAACCUAUGACCACACCAUAAUUUUUGCAUGGAUAGUCAUAGCAGCAUUAUUCAUGAUAACCAAGAAGUAGAAACAGCUUCAAUGUCUAUCAGCUGAUUAAUGGAUGAACAAAAUGUGGGAUAUUGAUACCUUGGAAUAUUUGGCAAUAAAAAGGAAUGAAGUACAUCCCACAGCACGAAUGAACUUUGAAAGCAUUAUGCUAAGUGAAAGAAGCCAGUCACAAAAGACCCAAUUUUGGAAUGACUUCAUUUAUAUGAAAUGUCCAGGCAGACAAAUCUACAGGGACAGAAAGUCUACAGAUGGUUGCCUAAGGCAUCAGAGGGAGUGGGGAUAAUGGAGAAUGACUGCCACAGGGUAUGGAGUUUCUCUUGGGGUGAAGAAAUGUUCUAAAAAUUAACUGUGGUGAUGUUUGCAUAACUGUGGCUAUACUAAAGACAGUGAAACCGUACCCUUUAAAUUGGUACAUUGGGAGUACCCAUCGUGGCUCAAUGGUAAUGAACCUGACUGGUAUCCAUGAGGACUCAGCCAUCCCUGGCCUCGCUCAGUAGGUUAAGGAUCCAGCAUUGCUGUGAGCUGUGGUGUAAAUCGCAGACACAGCUCAGAUCUGGCGUUGCUGUGACUGUGGUGUAGGCUGGCAGCUAUAGCUCUGAUUCAACCCCUAGCCUGGGAACUUCCAUAUGCCAUGGGUGUGGCCCCCCCAAAAAAAUGAUACAUUGAAUGGCAUGUGAAUUAGAUCUCAUAAAUCUAUUGCAAAAGAAGAAGAAUCCAUGGGCACUGGCCAAGGAGUGCUGGAAAGUCAAGAUCGAACACCUGACCACUCUGGCUGUACAGUGGGCUUGGGUGAAAGCAGUUUGUGGGAUGUUGGGGAGAGUGAGUCCAGGACUGCUCAUCCUAGCACUCUCCAUCUGAAAGGAAGCCAAGACCAGAGUGGUGGACAGAAGAGGAGGUUCUGGCCAGCUACAGGACACUUCCAAGUUAGAGGGGGCUCCUCUUGAUUCCCAGCCUAGUCCCCACAGGGACCAUAAUCUGUGAGCAAUUUUCAUUAUUUCAGAAAGACUAAUAGAAACCUGGCCCCUGCAUGGAAAAAGGCUGCCCAGGCCAAUUGUAAUAUCACUUUAUGUUGAACUGGAAGACACUACAUCAAGUUGAGGUUAUUGUGGUGGGGGCGGGAGGGGAGGUCAUUGAUGACUUGUUGGUAUAUCAAUAUGCACAACACAUUAAUCUAUGCCUAAUAGAAAUGGGCAGAAAGGAGUUCCCAUCAUGGCACAGCUGAAACAAAUCUGACUAGGAACCAUGAGGUUGCAGCUUUGAUCCCUGGCCUUGCUCAGUGGGUUAAGGAUCCGGCAUUGACACGAACCGCGACGUAGGUUGCAGACGUGGCUCAGAUUUGGUGUUGCUGUGGCUGUGGCUGUGGCAUAGCAGCUGUAGCUCCAAUUAUAUCCCUAGCCUGAGAACCUCCAUA
rnacentral:lncRNA from 1 species